CUUCGGGAAAGAUAUAAAGUGGCGCACGGGUGAGUAACACGUAGGUAAUCUACCUUUGAGUGGGGAAUAACGUUCGGAAACGAACGCUAAUACCGCAUAAUGCAGCGGCACCGCAAGGUGACAGUUGUUAAAGGAGCAAUCCGCUUAAAGAGGAGCCUGCGGCAGAUUAGCUAGUUGGUAAGGUAAUGGCUUACCAAGGCUACGAUCUGUAACCGACCUGAGAGGGUGGUCGGUCACACUGACACUGAAUAACGGGUCAGACUCCUACGGGAGGCAGCAGUCGGGAAUUUUGGGCAAUGGGCGAAAGCCUGACCCAGCAACGCCGCGUGAAGGAUGAAGUAUUUCGGUAUGUAAACUUCGAAAGAAUAGGAUUAUAAGGUCGGUAAUACGU
rnacentral:rRNA from 1 species